rnacentral:rRNA from 1 species
UUAAGCGACUAAGCGUACACGGUGGAUGCCCUGGCAGUCAGAGGCGAUGAAGGACGUGCUAAUCUGCGAUAAGCGUCGGUAAGGUGAUAUGAACCGUUAUAACCGGCGAUUUCCGAAUGGGGAAACCCAGUGUGNNNNNNNNNNNNNNNNNNNNNCACACUAUCAUUAACUGAAUCCAUAGGUUAAUGAGGCGAACCGGGGGAACUGAAACAUCUAAGUACCCCGAGGAAAAGAAAUCAACCGAGAUUCCCCCAGUAGCGGCGAGCGAACGGGGAGCAGCCCAGAGCCUGAAUCAGUGUGUGUGUUAGUGGAAGCGUCUGGAAAGGCGCGCGAUACAGGGUGACAGCCCCGUACACAAAAAUGCACAUAUUGUGAGCUCGAUGAGUAGGGCGGGACACGUGGUAUCCUGUCUGAAUAUGGGGGGCCCAUCCUCCAAGGCUAAAUACUCCUGACUGACCGAUAGUGAACCAGUACCGUGAGGGAAAGGCGAAAAGAACCCCGGCGAGGGGAGUGAAAAAGAACCUGAAACCGUGUACGUACAAGCAGUGGGAGCACGCUUAGGCGUGUGACUGCGUACCUUUUGUAUAAUGGGUCAGCGACUUAUAUUCUGUAGCAAGGUUAACCGAAUAGGGGAGCCGAAGGGAAACCGAGUCUUAACUGGGCGUUAAGUUGCAGGGUAUAGACCCGAAACCCGGUGAUCUAGCCAUGGGCAGGUUGAAGGUUGGGUAACACUAACUGGAGGACCGAACCGACUAAUGUUGAAAAAUUAGCGGAUGACUUGUGGCUGGGGGUGAAAGGCCAAUCAAACCGGGAGAUAGCUGGUUCUCCCCGAAAGCUAUUUAGGUAGCGCCUCGUGAAUUCAUCUCCGGGGGUAGAGCACUGUUUCGGCAAGGGGGUCAUCCCGACUUACCAACCCGAUGCAAACUGCGAAUACCGGAGAAUGUUAUCACGGGAGACACACGGCGGGUGCUAACGUCCGUCGUGAAGAGGGAAACAACCCAGACCGCCAGCUAAGGUCCCAAAGUCAUGGUUAAGUGGGAAACGAUGUGGGAAGGCCCAGACAGCCAGGAUGUUGGCUUAGAAGCAGCCAUCAUUUAAAGAAAGCGUAAUAGCUCACUGGUCGAGUCGGCCUGCGCGGAAGAUGUAACGGGGCUAAACCAUGCACCGAAGCUGCGGCAGCGACGCUUAUGCGUUGUUGGGUAGGGGAGCGUUCUGUAAGCCUGCGAAGGUGUGCUGUGAGGCAUGCUGGAGGUAUCAGAAGUGCGAAUGCUGACAUAAGUAACGAUAAAGCGGGUGAAAAGCCCGCUCGCCGGAAGACCAAGGGUUCCUGUCCAACGUUAAUCGGGGCAGGGUGAGUCGACCCCUAAGGCGAGGCCGAAAGGCGUAGUCGAUGGGAAACAGGUUAAUAUUCCUGUACUUGGUGUUACUGCGAAGGGGGGACGGAGAAGGCUAUGUUGGCCGGGCGACGGUUGUCCCGGUUUAAGCGUGUAGGCUGGUUUUCCAGGCAAAUCCGGAAAAUCAAGGCUGAGGCGUGAUGACGAGGCACUACGGUGCUGAAGCAACAAAUGCCCUGCUUCCAGGAAAAGCCUCUAAGCAUCAGGUAACAUCAAAUCGUACCCCAAACCGACACAGGUGGUCAGGUAGAGAAUACCAAGGCGCUUGAGAGAACUCGGGUGAAGGAACUAGGCAAAAUGGUGCCGUAACUUCGGGAGAAGGCACGCUGAUAUGUAGGUGAAGUCCCUUGCGGAUGGAGCUGAAAUCAGUCGAAGAUACCAGCUGGCUGCAACUGUUUAUUAAAAACACAGCACUGUGCAAACACGAAAGUGGACGUAUACGGUGUGACGCCUGCCCGGUGCCGGAAGGUUAAUUGAUGGGGUCAGCGCAAGCGAAGCUCUUGAUCGAAGCCCCGGUAAACGGCGGCCGUAACUAUAACGGUCCUAAGGUAGCGAAAUUCCUUGUCGGGUAAGUUCCGACCUGCACGAAUGGCGUAAUGAUGGCCAGGCUGUCUCCACCCGAGACUCAGUGAAAUUGAACUCGCUGUGAAGAUGCAGUGUACCCGCGGCAAGACGGAAAGACCCCGUGAACCUUUACUAUAGCUUGACACUGAACAUUGAGCCUUGAUGUGUAGGAUAGGUGGGAGGCUUUGAAGUGUGGACGCCAGUCUGCAUGGAGCCGGCCUUGAAAUACCACCCUUUAAUGUUUGAUGUUCUAACGUGGACCCGUGAUCCGGGUUGCGGACAGUGUCUGGUGGGUAGUUUGACUGGGGCGGUCUCCUCCUAAAGAGUAACGGAGGAGCACGAAGGUUGGCUAAUCCUGGUCGGACAUCAGGAGGUUAGUGCAAUGGCAUAAGCCAGCUUGACUGCGAGCGUGACGGCGCGAGCAGGUGCGAAAGCAGGUCAUAGUGAUCCGGUGGUUCUGAAUGGAAGGGCCAUCGCUCAACGGAUAAAAGGUACUCCGGGGAUAACAGGCUGAUACCGCCCAAGAGUUCAUAUCGACGGCGGUGUUUGGCACCUCGAUGUCGGCUCAUCACAUCCUGGGGCUGAAGUAGGUCCCAAGGGUAUGGCUGUUCGCCAUUUAAAGUGGUACGCGAGCUGGGUUUAGAACGUCGUGAGACAGUUCGGUCCCUAUCUGCCGUGGGCGCUGGAGAACUGAGGGGGGCUGCUCCUAGUACGAGAGGACCGGAGUGGACGCAUCACUGGUGUUCGGGUUGUCAUGCCAAUGGCACUGCCCGGUAGCUAAAUGCGGAAGAGAUAAGUGCUGAAAGCAUCUAAGCACGAAACUUGCCCCGAGAUGAGUUCUCCCUGACCCUUUAAGGGUCCUGAAGGAACGUUGAAGACGACGACGUUGAUAGGCCGGGUGUGUAAGCGCAGCGAUGCGUUGAGCUAACCGGUACUAAUGAACCGUGAGGCUUAACCUU